CUUUUUAGGAUAAGGAUUAGAGGUCCAAGAUUUAAUCCCCAUCUUUGGUUGAGGGAUUUGACCAAGUCCAAAUUCAUUUGAAGGGCCAAGAUAGGAUCUUGGUGGUGCCAAUUCUAGAAGGCUGAAAUUCUCUUCGUAACUUUUCACGUAUCAAUUCUCUCUCAGAGUUUUAAAUUAAAUCGAAGGCCUUAAUCUGAUUAUGGCAUGGGAUUUGGAUGGC
rnacentral:lncRNA from 1 species